GCCAGGUGUGGUGGUGCACACCUGGAAUCCUAGCAACUGGGGAGGCCGAGGCAGGAGGACCACAAGUUUCAGGUCAGCCUGGGCAACUUAGCAAAGACCCUGCCUCAA
rnacentral:sRNA from 1 species